AUAAGCGCUGAAAGCAUCUAAGCGCCAAGCCCCCUCUAAGACUAGAUAUCCCGGGACGCAAGUCCCCUGAAGGCACCUUGAAGACUACAAGGUUGAUAGGCUCUGGGUGUAAGCACAGUAAUGUGUUAAGCUGAAGAGUACUAAUUUGCCGUGAGAUUUGAUCAC
rnacentral:rRNA from 1 species